rnacentral:antisense_RNA from 1 species
AAUGAUUUGAUUGUUUAUCUUUCAACCAUUUGAACAGUGAUAUUUAUUUUUAAAUAAAUUUAUAAUUAAAAUGUAAUUAAAAUGAUCUACCGUUACUACUUAUGAAGCCCUAUUUUAGUCAAGUCAAUAUACUCUAAAAAAAUAAGCAUCCAAAAAAUUCCAAAAAGACCAAAAAAUGCAAUAAUAAAUCCAGCGAGCGUUUCAAGAGGGAAGUGAAAAUAUAAUGCAGUAAAAAAACUGCUAUAUGAAAUUAUUGCUAGUAGCGACAAGCAAUACCCUCUUAUACAAGAAACAACGAAUUUGUUUUUGAUAUUAUAGCCUAUAGCACACCAUUCAAUAGAUAUAAUUAAUAUAUACAUUGCAUACAAUACAAUAUGAUCCGAAAAGUCAAAAGAGAAUAAUUUUUUCUCUGCAAUAUUAAUGAUAAUGUGAAGAAAUAUAACUCUAUGCAUUGCGAUCAAAAAGUAAAUUAAAAGUCUCGGAAAAUGUACCAACAACAUUGGUUGAGGGGACAGUAUUGAAAAAAACCAGGGUAUCAUAACCAUAAAAUACCCCAAAAAUCCAGAAUUCUUCCCCAAAAUAUAAGAAUAUAAUCUCUUUCCAAACAUGUAACAAGGAGAUACAUAUCCACUAGAUGCUAAAAAUAAUUUAAAUAGCAUUGAGCCAUUAUUUAGUUGAUUAAGAUGAUCUUGGUUAACACCAAUGUUACUACUUUCAAUAUCGACUGUGUUUAUUGCAAAUACUAAACCUCUUUUGAAUUCGAUUAACACUCUAUUACCCAGCGCAAUUUCAAUGGUUCUCUUUGUAAUAUUUAUUACUUCCUCAGACCAAUUUGUACCACGCCUAUGAGUGCCACCACAAAAAAUAAUAUUACCAUCUUUGUUAUUUUUCAUUGGCAAUGAUAGAUCCAAAUUAUUUCUCAAUACUCUAAAAAACGACAUUUGAC